rnacentral:rRNA from 1 species
GACGAACGCUGGCGGCGUGCUUAACACAUGCAAGUCGAACGGAAAGGCCCUGCUUUUGUGGGGUGCUCGAGUGGCGAACGGGUGAGUAACACGUGAGUAACCUGCCCUUGACUUUGGGAUAACUUCAGGAAACUGGGGCUAAUACCGGGUAGGAGCUCCUGCUGCAUGGUGGGGGUUGGAAAGUUUCGGCGGUUGGGGAUGGACUCGCGGCUUAUCAGCUUGUGGGUGGGGUAGUGGCUUACCAAGGCUUUGACGGGUAGCCGGCCUGAGAGGGUGACCGGCCACAUUGGGACUGAGAUACGGCCCAGACUCCUACGGGAGGCAGCAGUGGGGAAUAUUGCACAAUGGGCGGAAGCCUGAUGCAGCAACGCCGCGUGCGGGAUGACGGCCUUCGGGUUGUAAACCGCUUUCGCCUGUGACGAAGCGUGAGUGACGGUAAUGGGUAAAGAAGCACCGGCUAACUACGUG